UGACAGGCACGUGAGCCGCUGACGUCAUCAAGAGAGAGAAGGCGACAACAUGGCGGCGGACUCUCUCCUAAAGAUCAUAUUUGAACACGAAGGAGUCUUCAUCCAUCCGAGCAGCGAUGAAGACGCCAUCGAGCAGGAUUUACUCGUCUCGGGCUCUCUUCGGAUUGUUGACAAGGAUGCUGAGGUCAUUGUUGAGUUCAAACCUGUGGAAGAAACAGUCGACACAUCAAACAUGCUGUGUGCUGGAAAGGUUUGUUUUCUUCUUCUAUAGCUACAGAUACACCAUGUAUUUAUAUAUAUGCGUGUAUACAUA